rnacentral:lncRNA from 1 species
UUGGCAUUCUAUAUACUCAAUCUGAAACUUUACAACACUUCUUAUAAAUAAGCAUUAUUUUCCUCUUUGAGCCUCAGCUAACUUAAAGGUCCAAAGUAACACAAUCAAGUUAUAAUACUGACAUCUAUCUCCAUGGGAGGUGUUGACAUUUUGCUGAAACCUUCCAAGACGGGAACUCCUGCUGUGGAUAGGAGAUGCCAUUUCAUUGAAAAUGAGAAAUCAGAAGUCAAAUAUACUAAUGCUAGAGGAAAAGGUACCUUUACAACCUGAAAAUCUAUGGAAUCUGGAAAUGAGUUCAAAUAUUUUUUGGACCAGUUUCAAGUUCAAGCUUUUCUGAGUAAAUUGCUCUAUCUGUGAUUAGAGUAUGAUUGAUUCCCAUCUCCUCGCAACUUCUUUUAGUUAUUAAAGCUGAUCCAAAAAGGGAAAGUAGAAGCUGAAGGUAAGAGAGAAUAAAACAAUA